AGAGCACAGCUCACUGCUCUGAGGACUUCUUAAAAGGCUGCUCACACCCUGUGUAGGAAUCAAUUCCCAUCAGUUCACAGCAUGGGCGUGAGGACUCCUGCUCACUUCCUGGGGCUCCUGCUGCUCUGGCUGCCAGGGUUGAUAUGUGACAUCCAUAUGACCCAGACUCCAUCCUCCCUAAUUGCAUCUCGUGGAGACAGAGCCACCAUCAAUUGUCAGGCCAGUGAGAACAUUUAUAGCUCUUUAUCCUGGUACCAGCAGAAACCGGGGGCAUCUCCUAAGCUCCUCAUCUAUGCUACAUCCAGCUUGGAAGAUGGUGUCCCAUCGAGGUUCAGUGGCAGUGGAUCUGGGACACAGUAUUCUCUCACCAUCAGCAGCCUGGAACCUGAAGAUGUGGGAAGUUAUUUCUGUCAACAAUAUAGAAAUUACCCUCCCACAGUGAUACAAGUCAUGACAUAAACCUCCCAGGGAAGCAGAAGUGGAAGGCCGGGGUGCCCCACCUGCUGCUUUUUGUGUCUACACUUGCGUGCAGUGUUUCUCAGUUGCAGCCAAACUCUGACUGUCAUUUGGAUGUUUUAGUAAAAGGGUCUAGUAAGACAUCUAUGCAACUAUACCUGUCCAGGUUCCUGUGGUACAGAGAUUUACUCCUGAGGAAUCCAAAUUCAGUCAGUAGCAUUUUUGAUCCAGGACAAUAGAAGUCACUAUAGAUACUCCAGCUAGAGAUGUUCUAAUACAAGACAUUAGAAUCUGAAUAGUACCUAUAAACCGGCUUGGAUGCUCUUGUAGUCAUGAAAGUUAAUAUUUAGACAUGAUCUCUGGUACUCCUCAAGGGAGCUCAGCUCUCUGAGCCUGAAGGUACAAGCUGUCUACUCAUGCUCUCCUCAGACUUGACAGUGUACCAGACGUUGUCAGUGAAAACACAGUGUGGUUACUAUCUGCAUUUUGAUAAUCUUUGCAGUGUUUUCAGCAUAUCUAGGUUCAUUAAAAACCAUUCAAUAUUUCUGGUAAUAAAUUUAACAGAAAAGUAA